GAUGAACGCUGGCGGCGUGCCUAAUACAUGCAAGUCGAACGAAACUUCUUUAUCACCGAGUGCUUGCACUCACCGAUAAGGAGUUGAGUGGCGAACGGGUGAGUAACACGUGGGCAACCUGCCCAAAAGAGGGGGAUAACACUUGGAAACAGGUGCUAAUACCGCAUAACCAUAGUUACCGCAUGGUAACUAUGUAAAAGGUGGCUAUACUACCGCUUUUGGAUGGGCCCGCGGCGCAUUAGCUAGUUGGUAGGGUAAAGGCUUACCAAGGCAAUGAUGCGUAGCCGAAUUGAGAGGUUGAUCGGCCACAUUGGGACUGAGACACGGCCCAAACUCCUACGGGAGGCAGCAGUAGGGAAUCUUCCACAAUGGGCGAAAGCCUGAUGGAGCAACGCCGCGUGGGUGAAGAAGGUCUUCGGAUCGUAAAACCCUGUUGUUAGAGAAGAAAGUGCGUGAGAGUAACUGUUCACGUUUCGACGGUAUCUAACCAGAAAGCCACGGCUAACUACGUG
rnacentral:rRNA from 1 species